UGUUGGAAUUAAAUAGACUCAGGCUUAGUAAAGAGUAGUAGUUUUGUUCUCUUGGCUGUUUUCAGGAAUCUCCUAGGCCAAAACCAUUUCAAGUCAGACCCGGGGAGGCCUGUCCAGCCUUCAGUAGGUUGCUGGGGGCAACUCCUGCAAAGCAGAGCAGCAGCCAAGCGCUGACGUCAAGUGCACGUCACACUCCCAUGUGUACCCCUACCCCCCUUCCCUCUCCCCAUGCCCACAUGCCCACAUGCCCAGCUCUUCCCCACCUCUUCAGGAGUAGCAGCUGGGAGACAAAUGCCAAGGGCCCUACAAGGUAUGUAUGUAGGGGUGGGGGUGAGUGGGUAAUGAAAGGUAUGUCAGCAAAGGCAGAGCUGCCGUCAAGAAUGGUGAGGACAGGCCCCUACAAAGAAAUCUCAUUCCAAUGUGUUAAGGGAUGGUGACACUCCAGUUGUAAUCUUAGAAAGAGAAGAUCCAAUUAAGCCAUGAGUUUCUGUUCUCACUGCUGGGAGCCAUCCCUAAGACUGUCACAAUUUAUGGAAUGCAGAUUUAUGGCCCCAGUAUCUUCAUUCAACACAAAGGCAGUUCCUUGGGACCAUGCCCAUCUCAUGUUCUCUGCUUCUUCCCAUGCCCUACAAAACAGCACAGAAAGACCACAUGUACACAAAGAGCUGCCUGCCUGGGUCAAAGAAGCCAGGCACAAAGGCUAAACGUGCUAUGAUUCCAUUUCUAUGAAAUGUCUAGAAUGGGUACAUCCAGAGAGACAGAAAGUAGAUUCACGAUUGCCAGGAGAAUGACUGCCAGUGGGGAUGGGGGUUCUUUCUGGGGAGGUAAAAAUGUUUUGGAAUUAGUGGUUACACAAACUUAAAAAUAUACUGAAACCACGGGAUUGUAGACUUUAAAAGGGUGAAUUCUAAGCAUUUGAUUUAUAUCUAAAAAAAUCCAGCUUUUGCUGGGUCAUGGGAAAGAUGAGUGGAGAAAGCAGUACCUCAGCCUUACAGAAGAACAGCUUGCUAAAUGAUGGGGGCAGCUCUGGGACAGGCGCAGGAAUGAAGAGGUCCAGAGGAAGCAGUGAACAAAGCGCUCAUAAUACCUUUGCCUUGUUUGGACCAGCAAAAAGCUUUAGGCAGCAUAGAAGCCAAACAGGGGGAAGGCCCACCCUUUCCCUAGAGAGCCAGCACUGCUGUGUUCACACAACAGGCCACCCCUAGGUCAGGGAGCACACUGCAUGCCCACAGGUUACCAGUGUAUAGGUCUCCUCCUCCUCCAACUCCUCCUGCCAGGGGCACAAUGGACUGUCUAACAAGAGGAGAAAGAAGAGUGAAGGCCCUGACUGAGAGGCACAAGGGCUCACCCUCUGGUUCCAGGUGGAAGGAUUUUUAAAGCUGGAAAGGACCCAAGAGACCAUUUUAGUCCAGCUCAAGAAGAAACAGAAUCGCCUACAAUUGUCCAAGGUA